AACUUGUGUAGUACAGCACUAACAGUUACAUAACCAUUCAGAGAAGGCAAGGACAGACAAUAACAGUUGUUUCAAAUGUCUUCAACAUCGUUUCAUUGUAUAUAAAUCAAAAUUGUUUUCAUUUCAGUGAACCCACAACCACCAACCCUGAGCUUGGUUCCUGUAAUUACUCAGAAAAGUACAUCAGUCAUGUGUGUUAUUGAGGAUUACUACCCCAAGGACCUCACUGUGCAGUGGGAAGUAAAUGAUACUAACUGCUCGAGACAAUCAAAACUGGAGUAUGAACUGAAUGAUGAAGGUCAUUACAACACACACAGUCUUUGUAAAGUCAGCAGUGAGACGUGGGAUGCAAAUACUGACUAUACCUGUGUGGUCAACCACCUGGGAAAAGUGAUUAGAGUGAAGAAGAACUUCAACAAUAAACUCACACUGAUGCUGAAGCCACCAAUUGAGAGAGAAUUAUUCGUCCAUAAUAAAGUUGUCCUGGAAGCUGUUGUUUCUGGAGAUGAACGAAAGAUGGUGGAAGAAGCUUCAGUGUCGUGCAAAGUGAAGAAUGAACCUGUAACCAGUGAUAUAGGAAAUAUAAACUUUUCUAAAGAUAUUUCACAGUUCAUACGAAUCCACAACAUCACCGUUGAUACAAAGAAAUGGUUUGAUGGUGAAAUGGUCACCUGCAAUAUUCGUGACAGAGACAUCAAGCAGGAGAUCAGUUUUGAUAAAGGCGAUGGACGGACACCCAGCGUUAUCAUUUACACACCUGAUACUAUCCACACAGACACAGUCUCUCUGGUGUGUGAGGUCACCAGCCCUAAACUUGGUGAUGUCUAUAUCAUGUGGAAAGUGGGAAAUAGGCGUUACAUAAAGGGUUUAACCAGCGCUCCCAUUCAACGAGAUAACUCCAUCUCUGUUCUCAGUAUUCUGACAGUGUCGAAACAAUACUAUGAAGAUCCCAGAAAUACCAUCAUCUGUGCAGUCAAACACGCCAACAUGGACAUUAUAGUAUCUCCAUUACAAGUUACAAAAUCCCAAAGUAAACAGCCAGAAUGUCCAGUUGAUUAUUAAUGUACAGCAACUCUCUCAAAAGAUCAUGACAGUUAUCUGUUGUUCACUUGUACAUUCUCCAUUGCUUCUGUCCUGAUGCUCUCUUGCCAAAUGAUAAACCUUUUUUUUUUUUGGUCUACAUCUGUAUCAAUAUUCAAAUAAAUAUGGUCACACGAAAGCAUAGUCAACAUAAUAUCAUAGUGUGAAAAAUCAACAGAUUUCAAGAGAAAAAAAAGUAUUGUGAAUGUGAUACUGUUAUCCUGUUCAUGCCCUCUGACAUUUUCACAUUCUGUUCUCCAGAAAUUAUUACUUUGAA